GAGGGAGAAGCUAUCUUCGGAUAGUGGAGACCGGCAGACGGGUGAGUAACACGUGGGAACAUACCGAGUAGUGGGGGAUAACAGUUGGAAACGACUGCUAAUACCGCAUACGCCCUUCGGGGGAAAGAUUUAUCGCUAUUCGAUUGGCCCGCGUUAGAUUAGCUAGUUGGUAAGGUAACGGCUUACCAAGGCGACGAUCUAUAGCUGGUUUGAGAGGAUGAUCAGCCACACUGGGACUGAGACACGGCCCAGACUCCUACGGGAGGCAGCAGUGGGGAAUAUUGCGCAAUGGAGGAAACUCUGACGCAGCCAUGCCGCGUGAGUGAAGAAGGCCUUAGGGUUGUAAAGCUCUUUCAGACGUGAUGAUGAUGACAGUAGCGUCAAAAGAAGUUCCGGCUAACUUCGUGCCAGCAGCCGCGGUAAUACGAAGGGAACUAGCGUUGUUCGGAUUUACUGGGCGUAAAGAGCAUGUAGGCGGAUUGGACAGUUGAGGGUGAAAUCCCAGAGCUCAACUCUGGAACGGCCUUCAAUACUUCCAGUCU
rnacentral:rRNA from 1 species